rnacentral:rRNA from 1 species
CCUACGUGGGGCAGCAGUGGGGAAUAUUGGACAAUGGGGGGAACCCUGAUCCAGCGACGCCGCGUGAGUGAAGAAGUAUUUCGGUAUGUAAAGCUCUAUCAGCAGGGAAGAAAGAAAUGACGGUACCUGAAUAAUAAGCCCCGGCUAACUACGUGCCAGCAGCCGCGGUAAUACGUAGGGGGCAAGCGUUAUCCGGAUUUACUGGGUGUAAAGGGAGCGUAGACGGCGAUGCAAGUCUGAAGUGAAAGGCGGGGGCCCAACCCCUGGACUGCGUUGGAAACUGUAUGGCUGGAGUGCAGGAGAGGUAAGUGGAAUUCCUGGUGUAGCGGUGAAAUGCGUAGAUAUUAGGAGGAACACCAGUGGCGAAGGCGGCUUACGGGACUGUAACUGACGUUGAGGCUCGAAAGCGUGGGGAGCAAACAGGAUUAGAUACCCCUGUAGUC